UCCGGCCUAUUUUAGUCCACUUGACCCCUACCACAGCGGAAAAGCGUGACGUCAUCCUACUACGCGUUAUUGUAUAUACAUGUACAGUGUACAUGAUUGUGUACUAAGAUAGCGUGGGUUGCGUGGUGUAAACAGUAGCUUGCCUCCAGCAUCUUUAUCCUAUACUAUUCUGUUGAUAGCUCGAUAGUCGCCUUAUUUUCUCGAGUAUUCGUCGUGGUUUAUAUCCUUUUAGGUCAUCAUAAUUUUCCCAGUUAUUUUGUAAGAUGACAUCACAGUCCCAGCAAGAGAACCAACGAGGGACAAACUGGCACAGACGUGAGGUCCUGGCUCUCAUAAACAUUUGAGGCGACGAAGAGUACCGCCAUGCCAAUGACGACCCUUUUUCGAGGAAAAAAAAAGUAAUGGAGAGAAUUGCGAGCCGCAUGGCAUAACUAGAAUACAUCAGAUCGGUUACUCAAAUAUCUAAUAAAAUAAAGCAGCUGAAGACAAAAUAUAAACAAGUGUUGGAUAACAACCGGAGAAGUGGGAGAGCCCGAAUGGAGUCGGAGUACUUUGGAGAGAUUGACGCCAUUUUGGGUGCUCGUCCGGCAAUCAACCCAACGGCCGGUCAGGUGCUCGACGUUGGCCUUCUCAAUAGAUCUCGUGAUCAUGAUGAGUUAUCACAAUCAUCUGAACUUGAUAAUACACCCCCGCAAGAAAGCGACAAUGAAGAAGAGGAUGCAGAAUUUACAGAAAAAUGUUGAUCCUGAACGUCCUCGACAAAUUGAGGCUGAUCCCUUACAUGACGAUUCCUUGGAUGAAGAAGCCGUGCCUGCUGAACCCCUAGUGCCUGCUGAACCCCUAGUGCCUGCUGAACCACAAGUGCGUGCCGAGCAA